GAAAAAGCAGUGGCCUGUUGUAUUUAUCGAUUGGCCUCUCGUAAGGUCCAGGAAUAUCAGGUUCAUUGUUAUUGGGUGAACCUCUUUCGAUUAUCUCAAUGGUAAAAGGUUCAGUAAAUGAUGAUACAAUA